UUGGAUGUUGCAACAAAGUCAAACUAAACUGGUGUAUAAGUGAUUUCUUCUUCUUCUUCCCUGUACUCUUUGUUUCUUUCUUCUCCCUUUUUUUAUCACAAACUACCGUUACUCUUGCUUGUUGAAAGGAAAAAAAGUAAAUAUUAAAAAUAAAUUUAUGUAUCAAUAAUAGAAUUUUAAAAGAAAUUAGAAACAUUGUUCAGUGUUGGGUAAGAGUAAAUUUUGACACUCUUGCAAUGGAGAAAAGAAAAGUGUUUAUAGAUGAGGAAAAAAAAAGAAAAUGGAAUAUGAUCUGCAAUAGAGAUGGAGAGAUUGAAGU
rnacentral:lncRNA from 1 species